AGUGAACGCUGGCGGUAGGCCUAACACAUGCAAGUCGAACGGCAGCACAGUAAGAGCUUGCUCUUACGGGUGUCGAGUGGCGGACGGUUGAGGAAUACAUCGGAAUCUACUUUUUCGUGGGGGAUAACGUCGGGAAACUUACUCUAAUACCGCAUACGUCCUACGUGUGAAAGCAGGCGAUCUUCUGACCUUGCGCUAUUGAAUGAGCCGAUGUCGGAUUAGCUAGUUGGCGGGGUAAAGGCGCACCAAGGCGACGAUCCGUAGCUGGUCUGAGAGGAUGAUCAGCCACACUGGAACUGAGACACGGUCCAGACUCCUACGGGAGGCAGCAGUGGGGAAUAUUGGACAAUGGGGGCAAGCCUGAUCCAGCCAUACCGCGUGGGUGAAGAAGGCCUUCGGGUUGUAAAGCCCUUUUGUUGGGAAAGAAAAGCAGCAGGUUAAUACCCCGCUGUUCUGACGGUACCCAAAGAAUAAGCACCGGCUAACUUCGUG
rnacentral:rRNA from 1 species